UCCCAGGUGUCGCCGCUUCCUGCUGCA
rnacentral:piRNA from 1 species